CCCUACGGGACGCAGCAGUGAGGAAUAUUGGUCAAUGGGCGCGAGCCUGAACCAGCCAAGUCGCGUGAGGGAAGACGGUCCUAUGGAUUGUAAACCUCUUUUGUCGGGGAGCAAAAGACGCCACGCGUGGCGUUCCGAGAGUACCCGAAGAAAAAGCAUCGGCUAACUCCGUGCCAGCAGCCGCGGUAAUACGGAGGAUGCGAGCGUUAUCCGGAUUUAUUGGGUUUAAAGGGUGCGCAGGCGGAAGAUCAAGUCAGCGGUAAAAUUGAGAGGCUCAACCUCUUCAAGCCGUUGAAACUGGUUUU
rnacentral:rRNA from 1 species